rnacentral:rRNA from 1 species
GACGAACGCUGGCGGCGUGCUUAACACAUGCAAGUCGAACGGAAAGGCCCUGCUUUUGUGGGGUGCUCGAGUGGCGAACGUGUGAGUAACACGUGAGUAACCUGCCCUUGACUUUGGGAUAACUUCAGGAAACUGGGGCUAAUACCGGAUAGGAGCUCCUGCUGCAUGGUGGGGGUUGGAAAGUUUCGGCGGUUGGGGAUGGACUCGCGGCUUAUCAGCUUGUUGGUGGGGUAGUGGCUUACCAAGGCUUUGACGGGUAGCCGGCCUGAGAGGGUGACCGGCAACAUUGGGACUGAGAUACGGCCCAGACUCCUACGGGAGGCAGCAGUGGGGAAUAUUGCACAAUGGGCGGAAGCCUGAUGCAGCAACGACGCGUGCGGGAUGACGGCCUUCGGGUUGUAAACCGCUUUCGCCUGUGACGAAGCGUGAGUGACGGUAAUGGGUAAAGAAGCACCGGCUAACUACGUG